rnacentral:lncRNA from 1 species
CUACAGUUUGCACACUGCUUGCAGUCCAGCAGGGGUGGAACCCUCCAUGGGUUCUUCCAGGCCCCUCCCUUUACCUCUCUCUGAGGGGACCUCUGGCUCCUAAGGCUCUACUCUAGCAGCACAACAGUAACAGCUGUAGCUAUUCCCAAUUUCCUUACUAUCUCUGUUUCUCAGUUAGUUUUUUUCUUCAUCUUGCUCACCCUCUUUGGUUCUGACAACCCCGUUACACCUUGCUCAUCUUUGCCUUCCUCAGCCUGCGUCCUCAAACUUUCCACUUUCCAAACUCAUCAUUACAUAAAGUAGUAACAUGACAUUUCAGUUUCACCUCCUCCUCUCCAGAGGUUUCCAGUGCUAACACUGGAAUUUCGGGUUUCCCAGAUCUCUACAGAUGAAGCUAUUCUCACUUCCAGUGCCCCAUCCUCUCCACCUCCCCCAUUCGCAAGUAACGCUGUUUACAACAGCGGUCUCUGACUCCGACACUCUCUCUCACUCUGAGAGUUCUGCUGGCAGGGGAAUGGUGCGGGGGGUGGGGGGGCUGCUCUCAUGCAGCGCAGAUAAACUCACUUUGUCUUUAACCCUUUUUCCUUUGUCCACUGUUCAUACCCUCAGUUACACUCCCACAUACCCCCAAUCAAGCUUUUGUAUACCAUUAACAAUUACACUUACUUAUACCAUCAGAACUGUUUGUCCCAUUCCCGUCAGAACCCACAAAUUAAACACUACAGUUCUUCAGUUUCCACAAACACCCAGUACUUAGUCUCGUGAUUAGAGCACUCAAUUAUAAAAACUGUUCAUAUUAUUUCAUUUACCUUCCCUCCUUAAGAAUAACAGUAACUAUAGGAAGGCAUUAUAGUUUAGGGUCUCAUUCCGACGCCACUUCUCAUCAUCUUCUAACUUAUAUAUUAACCACUAUUGAUUGCAAUACUUGAUUAAAGUUUUCUUACUCAGGGUGCCUCCAGGUUCCCCUGCAAUAUCUCACCAAUGUGCCAAUGCACAUCCCAAAGGGGUUUGUUUGGGAAUUUCCUUCCCCUGGGAGCCUCCCAUGAUGUUUACACAAUUCUUAUUGAUUCCUAAUUUCCUCAGAGUUUCCACAAACAGCCCUUAGUACCAUAUAGUGAUAUUGUUCAGUUAUAAACACUUGGAAACAGAUCUCACAGAAGCCCGUCCACCUUCCUUUACACUCUUCCCCACAAUCAGAACACAAUACUACACUCCCUGAACGGAACGCGUCUCACUCACACCACACUCACUCUGACAUUUAGAACAAAAACCAUGGUUUAUACAUCAUACACAGUGCUGACGAUGUCCUUUAGCUGGAAUCUUAAUAACACUAGUACAUUAGUCGAUCAGUUGCAAGCUUUAAGAUUUUUCUGAAAGUCAGCUUGUCCUGCAAUGAUUAGAUACACG